AUUAUUAGGAAAAGAUGACAGAUUCAGUAUGGAGAAUAGAAGGAAGAGGCCAAAAGCAGAAGGUUAUUCCCAGGAUAAAGAAGCCAUCAAAAUGCUAAUAAGCCCUAUUCCAAAAGGGUAUUAUUGUUUCUUUGUUCAGCUUUAUUUAUAAACACACACAUCUGAAGCAAUGGUUCCAUCUGCACAGACUAAAAAGCUCUGUGUCCAAAAUACACACUGCUCCAGAACCUACAGAGAAUAAAAAGCCCUGCUCAGUUAGACAGCUUUCAGAAAAAGCACUGGACUGAAAAAUGACAAAAGUCUCCAGAAAUCUGAAGUUUAGAUGGAAAGCCUUCUCUGUACAGAAGUUAUUCUGUAUGAACUAGACAGGAAAGAACUGAAUUAUCUCGCUGAUCUCGGUCCGGUGGAUGUUCCAGUGAAGGAGGACCAAGGCUUCACAUGUUUUUUUAUUCAAAAUGUCAGUGUAAGCUAUUCAGCCUGUCCCGUGCUUUGAGGACUGGUGCUUCAAACCCGCUUUGUGUAGAGCAGCUUCCAUGGAGAGCAGCGUGGCCAGGAGUCUUCCCGGCUGGGGAGAGUCGCCGAGUGUGGAGCCCUCUCAGUUGCUCUCUGCGCGCUGUCAGAAAGCAGCGCUCCUUGGCCACCCCCGAUAACCGUGUGAAUACCAACACCAAGCCUAUAAUUACCCUCAAGUCCUUCUCUCUGGGAACCGUCUGCUCGUGGUAUUUUACACAGCUUCACAGCACAGCGUACCCAGAAAACCUGCUAGUGAGUUCGGAGACUUCGAGCAGUCGCAGGGUGCUCCUGUCUGCUCCUUCCCUGCAGACGCUGGUACGGUCUGCGACUCCUCACCGCAAAGUACAGCUGCUUUGUCUGCGUUUCGCCCCCAAAAGGGAUGGUGUGCUUAUUGCGAAGUUAAAAUGCAUUACAUACGCCACUAGUAUUUUUCCAUGUUGGCAGAUACAGGAGUUGCCAUGGGAAUGACACAUCAUGUGAAUGGGUGAAGAGGCAGCUCACAAAACGGUAUGGAUUAGAGAUGUGGCCCGCAGUGUUAAAAACAUGUACAAACCGUCUGCUGUACAUAACCACACCGACUUCUGUCGCUAAGAGGCUUCAGGGAAAUAAAUUGAUACUUCUCUAGGCCUGUUUUAUAAAUGAGCAUCUUAAAUAAAUAAAGCAUUUAACUG